AACUCUCCAAGAAGAGAAGACGGGUGCACAAUCUCAAGAUUGCGGUAAGAAUAAUUUUAUGUAUAAGCAUAUUUUUUUAAGUAGCCCAAGCUGUGUGUUUUAUAACUAAGAGGCGUUUUUGUCUUGUAAUUUUUAGGAGGCUGUACAGCGUCUCUGAGGCACACUGCAGGCGCUAUGAACCAGAGCAAAGACUAACGUCGCCUCAUAACAAAGCUGUGACCUCCGAUUUGCUUGGGGCUAUUUCAGCAAGUCCAGAUUUACUGCUGAGAAUGACGACAUUGUUUCUGCCCGUAAGACGUAUUAUGAGUCGGUACGCCGGAGUUUCAGAUACAAACAACCUGAACUCGCAUCGCAGGCGGAAA